UACGGAAGGCAGCAGUGGGGAAUAUUGCACAAUGGGCGAAAGCCUGAUGCAGCUAUGCCGCGUGUAUGAAGAAGGCCUUAGGGUUGUAAAGUACUUUCAUCGGGGAGGAAAAAACAAAACUAAUAAUUUUAUUUCUUGACGUUACCCGAAAAAGAAGCACCGGCUAAUUCCGUGCCAGCAGCCGCGGUAAUACGGAGGGUGCUAGCGUUAAUCAGAAUUACUGGGCGUAAAGAGCACGUAGGUGGUUUUUUUAAGUCAGAUGUGAAAUCCCUGGGCUUAACCUGGGAACUGCAUUUUGAAACUGAAAUACUAGAGUAUCGUAGAGGGAGGUAGAAUUCUAGGUGUAGCGGUGAAAUGCGUAGAUAUCUGGAGGAAUACCUGUGGCGAAAGCGGCCUCCUAAACGAAUACUGACACUGAGGGUGCGAAAGCGUGGGGAGCAAACAGGGAUUAGAUACC
rnacentral:rRNA from 1 species